CCUAGAACAAUCAGUAGUCUCGUGGCGUAGAAAUAAAUUUCAAAACUAAAAAUAAUUUGAUUUGAAUUAAAUAAUUGAUUUUCUGAUUCCUUUUAUUAUCACAGCAGUCUGCUUGACCUCCAGCCGCUGUAUCAGACAGGUGUGGUUCUCUUCGUCAACAAUUAUUGAAACAUACUAGCUCUGGAUCAACUUCAACGAAAUACAAUUAUCUGAGCAUCUACGAAGGCAACAUUGUCUUCUAAAGAGUUAUCUGUCAAGAUACAGAUAACAUCUUGUACCCUUUUGCAGUUGAAAAAAGGUUUCCAUGUUCACCAUUUUGGUCAUUUGAUACUUUGCUAAAUGGCAUUGAAAAACAAGCAGGACAAUCAACCAAUCUUGGAAGGUGACGACAUCUCCCCCUACACGCAACAGGAUGAAUCCUUAAAGCAAAAGAUGC